ACUUCCUGCGCGCCGCCAUGUUCGGUGGGACGUCACUUCCGUCGGCGCCGCGCCGGAACCGGCGUCGGCGGCCCCGGGCCGGCGGAGCGGCGCGGCGGCGGCCGUCCGAGCCUCGCGCUCAGGUCAAUGAGCGACGGCUCUCGAUUCAUAAAAUGUCGGUCGCUCCAUUCACGCCGCGGGGCGAUGCUACGCUGACCGUUCACUCGUGACCCUCGCGUCUUCGAAUAUUCAUGUCUCCAUCGAUAACAUCGUAACCUCUGACUUCUUUUAUAUUAUCGCGCCGUUUAGUGAACGCCGCUAUCCGAGGCCGGACUCGGUGCGAAGUGCUGAAACCAAGUGUUGUUUCAACCGUUGGACGAUAUUCGUUAAACUGUGAAUGAUGUGUGCUAAGUGAAUUAACAUUGUGAUUAUCACUCGUUGAUGAUGGAAUUUUACAUGUGUGACCAGCGGGCAGUUCGCUGUUCAAGAUUAUGAAAAUCCUGCGAAGACAUCUCGCGUAUUCUAUGGAUAUGAAACACCACUUGGAAUUUGGAAUGUGACACCGGCGCGGCGUGGGGAGAUGGAAGGCGAUGCUGC